rnacentral:rRNA from 1 species
AAUAGAUACCCGGGUAGUCCACGCCGUAAACGAUGUCGACUUGGAGGUUGUGCCCUUGAGGCGUGGCUUCCGGAGCUAACGCGUUAAGUCGACCGCCUGGGGAGUACGGCCGCAAGGUUAAAACUCAAAUGAAUUGACGGGGGGCCCGCACAAGCGGUGGAGCAUGUGGUUUAAUUCGAUGCAACGCGAAGAACCUUACCUACUCUUGACAUCCAGAGAACUUAGCAGAGAUGCUUUGGUGCCUUCGGGAACUCUGAGACAGGUGCUGCAUGGCUGUCGUCAGCUCGUGUUGUGAAAUGUUGGGUUAAGUCCCGCAACGAGCGCAACCCUUAUCUUUUGUUGCCAGCGGUUAGGCCGGGAACUCAAAGGAGACUGCCAGUGAUAAACUGGAGGAAGGUGGGGAUGACGUCAAGUCAUCAUGGCCCUUACGAGUAGGGCUACACACGUGCUACAAUGGCAUAUACAAAGAGAAGCGACCUCGCGAGAGCAAGCGGACCUCAUAAAGUAUGUCGUAGUCCGGA